rnacentral:tRNA from 1 species
UCCUGUGUGGCUCAGUCGGUUGAGCGUCUGACUUCGGCUCAGGUCAUGAGCUCACAGUUUGUGGAUUCAGGCCCCACUUCGGGAU